AGAAUGAACGCUGGCGGCGUGCUUUACACAUGCAAGUCGAGCGAGGCGGGGUAGCAAUACCCCAGUCGAGCGGCGGACGGGUGAGUAACGCGUGGAUGAUCUACCUUUUGGUGGGGGAUAACCCGGGGAAACUCGAGCUAAUACCGCAUGAGAUCGAAAGAUGAAAGGGGCGCAAGUCCCGCCGGAAGAGGAGUCCGCGUCCGAUUAGCUAGUUGGUAGGGUAAUGGCCUACCAAGGCGACGAUCGGUAGCCGGCCUGAGAGGGUGAUCGGCCACACUGGAACUGAGACACGGUCCAGACUCCUACGGGAGCAGCAGUGGGGAAUUUGCGCAAUGGGCGAAAGCCUGACGCAGCAACGCCGCGUGGAGGAUGGAAGGU
rnacentral:rRNA from 1 species